UCCCCCCGGGGUGCUCUGGGGGCCUUGCUGGCGGAAUCCGACCCAGAAGAGCAGGGAGAGAGGAGAGGCGGGGGCGAGGCGGAGCUACAACCCGAGCUCAGCGGAGGCCGGAACCUGAGUGGGAACCUACUGACUGAUAUUAGAAUCAGAAGGAUUCUUGGAGACCACCUACGCAAGACCUGUUCAUUUCCAGAUGUAGAUGCUGAGCCUCAGAGAGAUUCAAGUAAUUUCACCAAAGUCACACAGCUUUGUUCUAGGUGCUGGAGAUCCUAAUGUGAAAGACACGGUCGCUGACAUCAAAAAGCCACAGUUCUAGGAGGAAGCUCAGCAGUAUUGGAGGCAACACGAAGGCAGAUGGGAGCACCUAGAAGAGGCAGUUGACCCAGCUUGGGGAGGAAUUAGAAGUUUUCCAGGAGAGGAGACAUAUGUGCUGAUCUUAAAGCCAGAGCCAGCCAGACAAGACGGGGCGUGUACCGUUGCUCAACGAUCCUGCCGCAUUGCGAGCCUCCAGGCUGAGGAGCCAGUGCAAUUAGCAUUCCAAGGUGCCAAUCAUUUCCCCACCAUCCGCGCCCGCAGCAUCUUCUUCUGACUACAAAGGCUGGACUGACUGGCUUUCUUAAUGGAAAGUGUACACAUGAAAGAUUUACAGAAACAUUCUUAAAAGUUAUAAAUCCAAACAUUGCGUCGUGUGUAGAACCCAUUGAACUAUAUAGGACAGGAGACAGUUUCAAAAGAGCAUGUGGUGCUGUGUCUUCCACCUCUUGUUUCUAAGUUAAAAAAAAAGCAAGAAAAAAGAAAAAACGGACUCAAACCAACUCCACUGUAGUCAUGCUUUAAUCUCAUUCUAAACUUGAGGCAUCCCGUUGAAGUGAGACCCACAGGGAACAGGGCCCAGCAAAUCCUGGACCUCCUCCUAUCUGGUACAGACACAGAACUUGUCCUGAACUGGUUUCCUUAAAGCUAUCUUUUUUUUUUUUCCUUUUGCAUACAGAGCAGUAUUUUCCAAAAUGAAGUAUGGAAAUCAACGUAUGUGUGCGUGUGUGUGCGCACGCAUGCACAUAAAUGGACUUUAAAUGGUAUAUGAACAAAUAUACUUUUUAUUUUCAUACUUGUUAGUUUAAAUGUAUACUAAG